ACCCGUUGAUCCUGCGGGAGGUCGCUGCUAUCAGAGUUCGACUUAACUAAGCUAGCCCAGGGGCUUCUUCGGAAGCACCGGCAGACAGUUCCGUAACACGUCGAUAAUCUGCCCUUAGGUUGGGGAUAACCUGGGAAAACUGAGGCUAAUACCCGAUAUGAGAAAAAAACUGGAAUGUGUUUUCUCUUAAAGAUUACGCCUAAGGAUGAGUCGGCGGUCGAUUAGGCUGUUGGUGGGGUAAUGGCCCACCAAACCGAAGAUCGAUAGGGGCCUUGAGAGAGGUAGCCCCGAGGAGGACACUGAGAUAAGGGUCCUGACUCUACGGAGUAUAGCAAGUGCGAAAACUUUACAAUACAUGAAAGUGUGAUAAGGGAACUCUGAGUGCUUAUGCGUUGCAUAGGCUUUUGCCUAGAGUAAAAUCUAGGAGAAUAAGUGGUGGGCAAGACUGGUGCCAGCAGCCGCGGUAACACCAGCGCCACAAGUGGGGACCCGUGUUAUUGGGCCUAAAGCGUCCGUAGCCGGUUUAGAAAAUCUUCUGUGAAAUCGUUGGGCUCAACCCAACGGCGUGCAGGAGACACUACUAAACUUGAGUCCGGGAGGAGUCAGAGGUAUUUCUUGGGUAGCGGUAAAAUGCAAUAAUCCAAGAAGGACCACCUGUGGCGAAGGCGUCUGACUAGAACGGUUCUGACGGUGAGGGACGAAAGCCAGGGGAGCGAACCGGAUUAGAUAUCCGAGUAGUCCUGGCCGUAAACGCUGCGAGCAAGGUGUUGCAUAUUCUCCGAGAAUAUGCUGUGUCGAAGAGAAGUCGUUAAGCUCGCCGCCUGGUAGUACGGUCGCAAGACUGAAACUUAAAGGAAUUGGCGGGGGAGCACAACAAGGGGUGCGGCGUGCGGUUUAAUCCAACUCAACACGGAGAAUCUCACCAGAGGCGACGGCAGGAUGAAAGUCAGGCUGAAGACCUUACUCAACAAGCCGAGAGGUGGUGCAUGGCCGCCGUCAGCUCGUGCUGUGAAGUGUCCUGUUAAGUCAGGCAACGAGCGAGACCUGUACCUACAAUUGCCAUCAGCUAAUUUAUUAGGACUGGGCACAUUGUAGGGACUGCCUUGGAAACAAGGAGGAAGGUGCAGGCAACGGUAGGUCUGUAUGCCCCGAAUCCUCUGGGCUACACGCGCGCAACAAUGGUAGGGACAAUGGGACACAACUCCGAAAGGAGAAGUUAAUCCUCGAAACCCUAUCUCAGUUCAGAUUGAGGUUUGUAACUCAACCUCAUGACGUCGGAAUCCCUAGUAACCAGAUGUUAUCAUCAUCCGGUGAAUAUGUCCCUGCUCCUUGCACACACCGCCCGUCAAGCCAACCGAGCAGGGUUAAGGUAAAACCUAGUUUUUUGAUUAGGUUGAAUCUUGACUCAGUGAGGUGGGCUAAGUCGUCACAAGGUA
rnacentral:rRNA from 1 species